CUGCUGUCUGACUCUACCUGAAAACAUGUUACUUUACUUCUUGCUGCUUUUCUCUCUCUGCAUAGCCAUGGGCUCCAUGAACACCAUCAAACAGGAACAGAGGGAACAAGCUGUUUCAGAGGGAAGAAGCACCAGUUUGAGCUGUGAAUAUACUGGUUCUAUCUACAAUAUCCAGUGGUACCGACAGCAGCAGAGAUCCAGACCAGAGUUCCUGCUCUACAUCACAGAGGCUGGAGAGAUUCAUCCAGUUAGGUCUGAUUUCUCUGCUAAAAUCAACAAAAUGACGAAACAAGUGGACCUGCUGAUCUCCUCUGCUGCAGCGACAGACUCUGCUGUGUACUACUGUGCUGUGAGGCCCACAGUGACAGGAAACACCAGAACUCUGUACAAGAACCUGCAAUACUCCACAACAUCCACUAGAGGGCAUCACACACUGUUCCUCCUCUAUGGUUUGUUAGGAUUCAGUCUGAUUGUUUGUGCAGCUGAGAAUAAAGCAGACAUCAGAGUGUUUGCUGCAUCAUUGAACUCUAUGAUGAGAAGGUUUGGAUCAUAAAGGAGGGAUGAUGGAGGCU